rnacentral:rRNA from 1 species
AGUUUGAUCCUGGCUCAGGACGAACGCUGGCGGCGUGCCUAAUACAUGCAAGUCGAACGCGUCUCCGUUAAUGAUUUUAGGUGCUUGCACUUGAAAGAUUUAACAUUGAGACGAGUGGCGAACUGGUGAGUAACACGUGGGUAACCUGCCCUUGAAGUAGGGGAUAACACUUGGAAACAGGUGCUAAUACCGUAUAACAACCAAAACCACCUGGUUUUGGUUUAAAAGACGGCUUCGGCUGUCACUUUAGGAUGGACCCGCGGCGUAUUAGCUUGUUGGUAAGGUAACGGCCUACCAAGGCGAUGAUACGUAGCCGACCUGAGAGGGUAAUCGGCCACAUUGGGACUGAGACACGGCCCAAACUCCUACGGGAGGCAGCAGUAGGGAAUCUUCCACAAUGGACGAAAGUCUGAUGGAGCAACGCCGCGUGAGUGAUGAAGGGUUUCGGCUCGUAAAACUCUGUUGUUGGAGAAGAACAGGUGUCAGAGUAACUGUUGACAUCUUGACGGUAUCCAACCAGAAAGCCACGGCUAACUACGUGCCAGCAGCCGCGGUAAUACGUAGGUGGCAAGCGUUGUCCGGAUUUAUUGGGCGUAAAGCGAGCGCAGGCGGUUUUUUAGGUCUGAUGUGAAAGCCUUCGGCUUAACCGGAGAAGUGCAUCGGAAACCGGGAGACUUGAGUGCAGAAGAGGACAGUGGAACUCCAUGUGUAGCGGUGAAAUGCGUAGAUAUAUGGAAGAACACCAGUGGCGAAGGCGGCUGUCUGGUCUGUAACUGACGCUGAGGCUCGAAAGCAUGGGUAGCGAACAGGAUUAGAUACC